ensembl:snRNA LOC120093412 U1 spliceosomal RNA
UUACUUACCUAGCACAGAAGAUACAAGAACCAUAAAAGUGGUUUUCCCAGGUUAAAGCUCAUUGAUUGCACUCAAGGUGUUCUGAGUCUUGGAGUUUCCCCUAAUUUAGGAAAGUCUACUGCGUGAUUUGUGGUAGUGGGAUCCACAUUUGCACUCUACCCUA